rnacentral:rRNA from 1 species
AAUGCGAGUCGGACGGAGUAGCAGUACUUAGUGGCAGACGGGUGAGUAACAUGUGGGGAUCUUCCCUUUGGUGAGGAAUAACACGAGGAAACUUGUGCUAAUACCUCAUAAGUCUUUAAGGAGAAAGCUUUAUGCGCCAAUGGAUGAGCCCGCACUUGAUGUAGUUUGUCUCGGGGGGGUAAUGGCCUACCAAGACUUUGAUCAAUAGCUGAUUUGAGAGGAUGAUCAGCCACAUUGGGACUGAGACGGAUCAAAACAUAUACGGGAGGCAGCAGUAGGGAAUCUUGCACAAUGGAGGAAACUCUGAUGCAGCGAUGCCGCGUGAGUGAAGAAGGCCUUUGGGUUGUAAAGCUCUUUCGUCGGGGAAGAAAAUGACUGUACCCGAAUAAGAAGGUCCGGCUAACUUCGUGCCAGCAGCCGCGGUAAUACGAAGGGACCUAGCGUAGUUCGGAAUUACUGGGCUUAAAGAGUUCGUAGGUGGUUAAAAAAGUUGGUGGUGAAAUCCCAGAGCUUAACUCUGGAACUGCCAUCAAAACUUUUUAGCUAGAGUAUGAUAGAGGAAAGCAGAAUUUCUAGUGUAGAGGUGAAAUCCGUAGAUAUUAGAAAGAAUACCAAUUGCGAAGGCAGCUUUCUGGAUCAUUACUGACACUGAGGAACGAAAGCAUGGGUAGCGAAGAGGAUUAGAUACCCCUCGUAGUCCAUGCCGUAAACGAUGUGUGUUAGAUGUUGGAAAUUUAUUUUCAGUAUCGCAGCGAAAGCAAUAAACACACCGCCUGGGGAGUACGACCGCAAGGUUAAAACUCAAAUGAAUUGACGGGGACCCGCACAAGUAGUGGAGCAUGUGGUUUAAUUCGAAGAUACGCGCAGAACUU